AAUUUUGGACAAUGGGGGAAACCCUGGUCCAGCCAUCCCGCGUGUCUGAUGAAGGCCUUCGGGUUGUAAAGUACUGUUGGCAGAGAAGAAAAGGUAUCUCUUAAUACGGUAUACUGUUGAAGGUACGUGCAGAAUAAGCACCGGCUAACUAAGUGCCAGCACACGCGGUAAUACGUAGGGUGCAAGCGUAAAUCGGAAUUACAGGGCGUAAUGCGUGUGUAGGCGGUUCGGAAAGAAAGAUGUGAAAUCCCAGGGCUCAACCUUGGAACUGCAUUUUUAACUGCCGAGCUAGAGUAUGUCAGAGGGGGGUAGAAUUCCACGUGUAGCAGUGAAAUGCGUAGAUAUGUGGAGGAAUACCGAUGGCGAAGGCAGCCCCCUGGGAUAAUACUGACGCUCAGACACGAAAGCGUGGGGAGCAAACAGG
rnacentral:rRNA from 1 species